UCUUUUCAAUUUUUUAUUUGA
rnacentral:piRNA from 1 species